rnacentral:rRNA from 1 species
UACAGAGGUCUCAAGCGUUUGUUCGGAUUCAUUGGGCGUAAAGGGUGCGUAGGUGGCGCCGUAAGUCAGGUGUGAAAUUUCGGAGCUUAACUCCGAAACUGCAUUUGAUACUGCGGUGCUUGAGGACUGGAGAGGAGACUGGAAUUCACGGUGUAGCAGUGAAAUGCGUAGAUAUCGUGAGGAAGACCAGUGGCGGAAGGCGGGUCUCUGGACAGUUCCUGACACU